rnacentral:sRNA from 1 species
CCUGUCACGUCGUUUGCAUGACCCUGUUUGUCAAUAGAUGCCCCUUCUACCAUAAGGAAGAAACCUUUGUCAUUUUUAGACAGUUUAUUUAAUGCCGCUUUUUG